AAAUACAACUUUCAACAACGGAUCUCUUGGCUCUCGCAUCGAUGAAGAACGCAGCGAAAUGCGAUAAGUAAUGUGAAUUGCAGAAUUCAGUGAAUCAUCGAAUCUUUGAACGCACCUUGCGCCCCUUGGUAUUCCGAGGGGCAUGCCUGUUUGA
rnacentral:rRNA from 1 species